AGGAGGAACAACCGCAGUGGCGGGGCCAGCUCUGCAGCCCUGGAGUCAGCUCCCGCAGUAGCUCCAGAGCUCUCCAUCUGCAGGGCCUGGAGGCUCCGGGGCGGG
rnacentral:pre_miRNA from 1 species